AACCAGAUGGCCGAGAAUCAGGCACCGAGCUUUUAACUCGACUACAGAAUUUAAUAUACCUUCUGGUUG
rnacentral:tRNA from 1 species